UACGGGGGGAGCAAGCGUUGUUCGGAUUUACUGGGCGUAAAGGGUGCGUAGGUGGCGCCGUAAGUCAGGUGUGAAAUUUCGGAGCUUAACUCCGAAACUGCAUUUGAUACUGCGGUGCUUGAGGACUGGAGAGGAGACUGGAAUUCCUGGUGUAGCGGUGAAAUGCGCAGAUAUCAGGAGGAACACCGGUGGCGAAGGCGGGUCUCUGGGCCGUAACUGACGCUGAGGAGCGAAAGCAUGGGGGAGCGAACAGG
rnacentral:rRNA from 1 species